rnacentral:rRNA from 1 species
CCUACGGGGGGCAGCAGUGAGGAAUAUUGGUCAAUGGACGGAAGCCUGAACCAGCCAUGCCGCGUGCAGGAAGACGGCUCUAUGAGUUGUAAACUGCUUUUGUACAAGGGUAAACCUGAAUACGUGUAUUCAGCUGAAAGUACUGUACGAAUAAGGAUCGGCGAACUCCGUGCCAGCAGCCUCGGUAAUACGGAGGAUCCAAGCGUUAACCGGCUUUUUUGGGGUGAAAGGGUGCGUAGGCGGAUUGAGAAGUUCGAGGGUAAAUGUCCGAGCUUAACUCGGGAACUGCCUCUAACACUGUUGAUCUAGAGAGUGGGUGCGGUAGGCGGAAUGUAUGGUGUAGCGGUGAAAUGCAUAGAGAUCAUGCAGAACACCGAUUGCGAAGGCAGCUUACCAAUGUAUAUCUGACGUUGAGGCACGAAAGCGUGGGGAGCGAACAGGAUUAGAUACCCGUGUAGUC